rnacentral:sRNA from 1 species
UAAUUUUAGAUUUUUCUAAUUUUAAGUAGUCUAGGUUUUCUAACAAACUGAAAAUCAGUACCUUGGGAUGAUGUCAGUUUCACCUCAUAUGUUACUCUUCAUUUUUUAUGUUUUCAUAGGUUUUGGCUCAUCUUUUGGAUAUGGUUUUCUAUAGUGAUGAAAAGGAGCGGGUUAUUCCUUUACUUGUAAAUAUUAUGCAUUAUGUUGUGCCCUACCUCAGAAAUCACAGGUACUAUCAUUAUUUAAAUAGUUUUUAAAAUUAAUUCAUAGCCUGUUAGAAACAAGUUCUGUUCCCUUAUUGCCAUUUCUAGAAUUAUCAUAAAAUGGCAUUUUUACCUUGAAUUAUAAUUGUUUAAAAAAAUUCAUAUAUUAUUUUUCUUAUGGUGCUUUCUAUUUCAUAUCUUCAUGUCACUGUCUUAGGUAAAUGUGAACAUUUAUGUAUAACUUGAUAGGAUGAUUAAAGUUAGGACACAUAGGUUAAGGUGGUUUUUCUUCCUUGUAGUGCACAUAAUGCCCCUAGUUAUCGAGCUUGUGUCCAGCUGCUCAGCAGUCUUAGUGGGUAUCAGUACACACGGAGAGCUUGGAAAAAAGAAGCUUUUGACCUCUUUAUGGAUCCCAGUUUCUUUCAGAUGGAUGCCUCUUGUGUUAAUCAUUGGAGAGCAAUUAUGGACAAUCUGAUGACACAUGAUAAAACAACAUUUAGAGAUUUGAUGAGUGAGUAUUACGGGAUGACAAUCCAAGUUCUU